rnacentral:rRNA from 1 species
CGGCACGGGUGCGUAACACGUGAACAACCUGCCCUCGUGUGGGGGAUAGCCAUGCUAACGCGUGGGUAAUACCGCAUACGUUCCCUUGGAGGAGUCUCUGGGGGAGGGAAAGCUCCGGCGCACGGGAGGGGUUCGCGGCCUAUCAGCUAGUUGGCGGGGUAAUGGCCCACCAAGGCGACGACGGGUAGCUGGUCUGAGAGGAUGGCCAGCCACAUUGGGACUGAGAGACGGCCCAG